rnacentral:rRNA from 1 species
CCUACGGGAGGCAGCAGUGGGGAAUCUUGCACAAUGGAGGAAACUCUGAUGCAGCGAUGCCGCGUGAGCGAAGAAGGCCCUUGGGUUGUAAAGCUCUUUCGUCGGGGAAGAAAAUGACUGUACCCGAAUAAGAAGGUCCGGCUAACUUCGUGCCAGCAGCCGCGGUAAUACGAAGGGACCUAGCGUAGUUCGGAAUUACUGGGCUUAAAGAGUUCGUAGGUGGUUGAAAAAGUUAGUGGUGAAAUCCCAGAGCUUAACUCUGGAACUGCCAUUAAAACUUUUCAGCUAGAGUAUGAUAGAGGAAAGCAGAAUUUCUAGUGUAGAGGUGAAAUUCGUAGAUAUUAGAAAGAAUACCAAUUGCGAAGGCAGCUUUCUGGAUCAUUACUGACACUGAGGAACGAAAGCAUGGGUAGCGAAGAGGAUUAGAUACCCUCGUAGUCCAUGCCGUAAACGAUGUGUGUUAGACGUUGGAAAUUUAUUUUCAGUGUCGCAGGGAAACCGAUAAACACACCGCCUGGGGAGUACGACCGCAAGGUUAAAACUCAAAGGAAUUGACGG